rnacentral:lncRNA from 1 species
AGGCACUGUGGGCUUUGGGGACAGGGUUGGCAUUCUUUGUUCAAAAGCCAAUUACACCUUUAGUUCUGGCCAGAGAAAUGGCUAGAGUCACUUCAGAAAGAAGAACAGUUUUCUCUGAACAGAACCUGGGUUUUUCCGGACCUGUUUGUGGGCCAUUUUUUGAUAGAACCAAAUAAAGCAUUCAGAGGUCAGAGAGAUAUGGGUUCAAAAUCCAGUCCUGGGUGUAUUCUCUGUGCUCCAUGAUAUUUAUGCACACAUGUAGUACGUGUGAGCCCUGGGACUGGUAUGGAGGGCCUUGGGAUUAAGAUAUCGCCUUGCAUUUGGAGAGACUACAGUGUCACGGAGAGAAGACGUGUCUGAACAGCUGCUGCCAACACAGCAUGAGAGUACUGUGGGGUCACAAAGCAGAUCCAUGGUGCAGACACACGGAGCGGGAAUCUGGGAUGAGAAGAUGCCUAAGACAACUGCAUUUUCGGCUCCUGUUCUGAAUCUUGACAUCAGAAAGCACCAAACUCUUGGAGAAUCUAUAGAACAGCAAAGCAGCCAACUGAAGAAUCAGCAACAACAACGGCAACAACAAAACAGUGGAGAAGGACAUAGAGUUUUCUAUGUUUACUUACCCAGCUGUCUUUUUCUUUGAGCAACCCUCCGAAGACACCACACUGUUCUGCCUGGAGUGCACUGGCUGGGAUAUGCUAAAGACAGGUUACCUCCUGGAAGAAUAAUGCCACACAUGAUUGACACGACUUCCAUUUCUGAGCCCUGCCAACGUCGCCCGCCCCGGUGCAGCAAACACCAAAGAUGCAGCUGACAUGCUGAACUUAAACAAGUUCUGUUGCUUAUUCACUGAAUUAAGCCUACAUCUGCGGCUGUUAAAGUGGGGAAAAAGAUUAAUAAAGUACAUGUUGAAGCUUGAAAGAAUAAUUAGUGGGACGUUUUAUGUUUUGGCUGCAGAGUGUCUCCACAUUGAGCAUAAAGCAGAACCUUUCUUCUAAU